CAUGGUAGGAGAAAUUAGAGAAGAUUUUCCACAGUCAUCAGGGACCCAAAGGAAAUAAGGAUGAGACAUCACUGGACAGUCAUUCCCGACAUGAGUGGAAUUAGAACUUAAUUCUCCUGAACUAGUACUCUGUCUCUGUGAGUGGGCCUGGAAGAUAGAAACAAUAUUGCAGAGAUAACUAAACAGCAGUCCAAAUGUAAUUUUAAGAGCUGUUAAGAAUUUGGGAUCCAGUCUUGAGACUGAAUACCCUUCAGGAUUGAAGGUCUGGGGAGUGGCGUCAGAGUAGCAGGAGUCCGUCUGCUUAGAUCCUCUUCCUAAUAGGCAGGAUACUAGAUGUACAAUGUCAGUUAUACAUCCACCUUCUAAAAUGGAAGUCUUUUUUCGGCGAUUUGCUUCUUUUGUCUCUUAGCUCUCGCCUCCAUUUUAGCAUCACCAAAGUGCCUAAAGUUAGCAGGAGCUGUUUGCUCCCACACUGAAAACCUGCUCUCUUUGCUGCUGGACUAGGUGGUAAAGAGUACUGGAUUGUAGUGGGAGCCUGGGGCUGAACUCAUAGGUAUCCUAAGUUUUGUCCCUUCCUCCAAUUGUUAGAUCGUCUGAGGAGGCCAAAAACGUUUGGAACCCAGAUUAGAGCUGGGAAGAGGGAGCUCACAGAAGCGUCAGCCCUGUGGGAGAUUGGAUUAUGAUCCAAAAAUGGGGUAGGGACACAAUGAACGGUGUGGAGCAAGGAAUCUUCCCCAGCCUUGGGGUGCUGGUUGGGGCCUUUGCUGUCACUCAAAACAGGGCCUGGAGCUGCCUGUUUGGAGCAGUGUGCUGAAAGGCAAAGCACCAUUGUCCCCAUGUUGGGUGAGGAUACGCACCCUUGAAAGUGCCAGUUCCUAGGUUGAUGGUAAUUGGAAGAGCUCUUGGGGUAACUUUGAAGAAGCCAGAGAAUAGAUUAGAAAACACACAAUUGGAAAUUUCUUGUCUUUUGGGAUAAGACAAGGGGGAAAGGGAAUUACUGCUGUUUACUGGACCCAUGAGCCUUGGCUUUGUGGAUUGUUAGAUGAUACCCUUCUUCCUAGCCAUUGUUUCCCCUUUCACUUGCCUUAGGUCUGGUGAUACCUUAAAGGAAAAAUAAGUGAGGCAGAGGAGGGAAGGGCAAAACCAGAGUGAGCAAAGAAGAAACCAAGAUGAGAUUAUAGACAGAAGAAAAUGUUAGAGAAGUUUAGCUACAGCAAUAGAGAUGGGUAACUAGGGAAAAAAUCGAUUUAGAUAGAGACUAUCUGAAAGAAAAGACAGAUGAACAUUGAGGAAAGGACAGAGGCUAAGAAGAGGGAAAAGGCAGUGGCAGAAACUUAUAGGAAAACCAGAGACAAAGGAGGAAAAACUAAACCUCCUUCCCUCUCUCUCUACUUUCCUUCUUUACUCCCUCCUUUUCUUCUGAGUGUCUACCACAUGCCAAGUCCUAGCUAGGUACUGAGGAUGGAAGAUGAGCAAGACUCAUUCCCUGCUCUAGAGGAGCUCAUAUGUAGUGGGGAGAUAAUGAUGUGGCUGACUGUAGAGAACGAGGGCGAGAAAUUGGUUUCCAAGGACUGCUUUUUCUAUGUGUAGGUAAGAGGGGGCUAAGAAAGUGGAGACCCUCAGAAUGAGUUUUGGAGUUCCCUUUGUAACUGCUGUCGGGCUAAGGGUGGAAGGCCAGCUGCUAUCUGAGGAUUCAGACCCUCCUUGUAGCUUCUUUUUGGGUGGUAACUAGGGUGGUGUUUUACAGGUAGUGGCCGAGAGUCUGCAGUGAGUCAGGAAUAGGAUGCUCCCUGGGUCCCCAGUGCCGCACGCACAGGCACAGCGGGAGGGGUGACGUUCUCCCCUCUCCUCUCCCUGAAGUACCUGUGCGCUGCUGUGAGUUCUCCAGCUGCAACUUACCUUGGGCUCUCUCUUGGCCUUCAUGCUACAUGCAAAAGGGAGGAAAAGGAAGUUGUGGGAAAUUUGGAAAAUACAAAAUGAACAAACAUCCUUAUCCCCAAAUAACAAAAAAAGACAAAUUUUGGCGUUCAAUUUAUGGGUCUCUGAAGUCCAGGAAGCCCAACGACCAGAGAAUGAAUAAUCCUCUUGCAGGAGAAGAGAGCACCAGUGUUAAGGGUGGGUUAAGAGUCUUUGUGGAGGCUGGGGGUGGGACGGAACACAAGGCUCCUUCAUCAUCACCCCUUGAUGAGAGAACCUCUUUAGGGGAGAUGCUUUUGUGCAGAUACUUAAAAACUUCCGUACCCUUAUAGGUGCAGGAAACAGAGAGUUCCCAGAAUGUGGGGCCUCUGAGGGAAUUGUGGUUUGUUAUGUGUCUAGGUUUGGGUUUGUAAAGCAGGCAUUGAAGAGUAGCUGUGAGUUUCCAGAAUUUGAGAGGAACAGGGUUGGUAGGUUAUGAGUGGAUCUGGGAGACCUUUCCUACACGGUCUGUUUCGAAGGUAUGGGCAGCUGUUGAAGCUACUUGAGGGAGGGGCUUAAGGUGGCCUGGCCGGAGGUCAAAAGAACCUGGAACUAACGCAGGGGUUAGAUGGACACUGUAACCCCGAGACAAAAGCCAGGUGAAGGACAUUGGCUCUAUUUCUGUCAUUUUGCCAAACAUUUUGAAGAAUGGUGUGCCAAGGUCCUGUAAUGACGGACAGUGCUGUAAGUUGCAUGGAUAUCUUCAUUGGAACAACAGUACCACCACAUUUUUCUCAUUUGCCAUGGGCCAUUGAAAACUUUCACAAAAUUGCCACGGUCCUUGGACAGCAUUUCGUUUCCUCCGAUCUAGCCCAGCUCUGCUGCCUCAGCGACAGUGGCACAAAGUCACAGAAGCUUCCACAUUUUUGCUUCUUUGAGGAGAUGGCCAAGGGAAGAGUUCUGGGUUGUAGAGAAUAUGACUGGAAACUUCAUGGUGAUUCUGAAAUCUCUGGCUUAUGGACAGAUUAGGGGUUCUCACCCUGCUUUCCCCUCUGAAGGUGUUUCUUUAUGGCCAUUUAGCAAAUUUCCCAGCAUCUUCAUUUUUGAUAAAGUUUGGGACUUUGUUUUCCGGCUCUCAUAUUUCCCUUUUGGUGUGUGUACUGCCUUUUCUAAGAUGUUUUUGGCUCUCCUCCCAACUAACUUUCAGCUGUUCUUUGGGAAAAGGCCAGAUAAUUCACAACUGUGAUGAAAAAACCCAACCCCAAACAGAAAAAUCCUGCAUGUCUUACCAUUUCUGGCAUCUGGUUUUGUUUUGUUUUGUUUUCCUUUAGUGGUGUUUAGUUUCUGGACCCCAAAGCCUGCAAUUCUAAUGGCCUACUUUCUGGUGUCCUUGCGUGAGAAUAAUGCUUGGAGAGUGCAGCCAUAAAUAGCGUGAUGGGCCCCAGUCCGCAGCUCUGAUGGUCCCCGCACAUCUGUUGUUCGAUUUUAAAGAGAACUGCUUAUGGAAAGGGCUGGCCAUUGAGUUCUCCGUGGAUAGCUAGCAAGGACUCUGAUUUCAAAAUGGAAAAUGUUUGAUGUGAAGAUGUUUUGAACAAGGAACAAAAAGCCUGUGUUCUAGUCCUGGCACUGCCGUUACUAGCCGUGUGAACUUCGGCAUAUCUCCAAAUUUCUUUGGGUUGCGGUUUCCUGAUGGGUAGAAUGAGGAUAUGAAUGCCUACCUCACAGAGUUGUUGUGAGAAUUAAAUGUGCUCUGUAAUCUGUCAUAUUAUAUAAAUAUUUGCAAAUUUUUAUGGUUUAAGAGCCGUUUAAAAAUAUUCCCUGGCCACAUAGCAGACGCGCUGACUUUUCUACCCUCAGGUCAAGGGUUUUCACGGUCAGGUAUUGCAUAUUUAAAUUGCUGGAGCCAAAUUUUAUGUUUUUAUGUAAAUAUUUUUGUGCGGAGAGGGGUCCAUCAGCUUUCUUCAGUUUCUUUGAGGAAAAACCUAAAAAGGUAAAAACCAGUGCUUCAGAGUUGAAAAGUUGGAUUCAGUAACAGGAAUAAAUUUAUUGCUUCCAAUAAGUCCCUCUUAAUAUGUCCGCAGUAGCAGUUGCAUCGGUUUUCGCAUGGUGAAAUCCUCAAUGUGGCCUGAUGACGGUACAGACUGUUUGAAAUUGAAACAGAGAAUCUUGGACGUACAGUCAUGGUAGCCAUUCGGUUAUCCAAUUGCCUACAGUGUGAAGGUGGGCGUAAAAGAAAUGAUUAACUAUAUGGACCUAAGAGAGUCACCUGACCUCGUGGAGUCUGUUACUUUUUGGGAAAGGGAGGGAUUUUGACCCUGAAGAUUUCCGAAGUCCCUAGUUUGAAUUUCCUAGGGAAGUGAGAGAAAAGCUGGAUUCGGCUGGAGCCUGGUUGUGGCAGAAACUAUCCAGGCUUUGUGUAGGAGGAGAAAGAGGGAGAAUAAGAGCAAGGAGGAGGGGCAGAGCAUCCAAGGAGCCUCGUCCUUGAUCAAGAUAGGCGACGCGAGCCUGCUGAGGGGAAGAGCCAGGGUGACAAGGGCAGGAAGAGAGCGGAUAGGCUACUUCUUAAGAUCCACCUGGGGGACCAGAGACUCUGCUUCCACCUUUCACGCUGGGACUGGCUUGCCAGAACACAAGCUGUCUCUCAGUGAGCGAACACGCCGUCUUCCUUGCACUCAGAGAAGUUCUAGUUCUCACAGGAGUACAUGCCUGGGGUCUUCCCACGUUCCCCGUCAGGUGAUUUGCCUACUUCAGGAAAAUGCCGCCCUGCAAAUGCCUCAAGAAACAAGUAAGUCUUAGGGCUGUUGAGGCUGUUUGAAGGGGUUAAGAGAACCUCAUAUCUGUACCUUGGGAUGGAUUGGAAUCCCUACCCCUUCAUGAGGAAUUUUAAGCAAAAAAUCCUUGUGUGUGUGUGUGUGUGUGUGUUUUAAAGAUUCACUCUGAGCUAACAUCCAUUGUGAAGCUUUUUUUUUCCCUCCCCAAAGCCCCAGUUCAUAGUUGUAUAUUCUAGUUGUAGUUCCUUCUAGUUCUUCUAUGUGAGCCACCACCACAGCAUGGCUACUGACAGCUGAGUGCUCUAGGUCCGAAAUGGGGAACCAAACCCGGGCCACCAGAGCAGAGCAUGCCAAACUUUAACUGUUAGGCCGUCAGGGCUGGCUCAAAAAAUCUUUAUUUUUUAAAACUACUAUCAAUACAUUAUUAACUAAAGUCCAGGUUUGCAUUAGGGUUCGUUAGUUUUUUUUUUUUAAAUUGGGUUGAAGCUUUUUGUGUGUGUAGAAUGACUGGCUCAUCAUAUGGUAGGUUCAUAUUUAACUGCCAAAAAAACUAUGCAACAGUUUUCCACAGUGGUGGCCCCAUUUUAUAUUCCCACUGCCAGUGUAUGAGCAUUCUAUACUCACCAACACUUGAUGCAGUCUCUUUAACUUCUAUCCACUCUAACAGAGACUGGAAGACUUGGCUCCUUGGUUUGGAAGCGGCACUGGCUGAGACUUGGUUCUUUGGAAAUAGACAAGGUCCCAUUCCAGGAGGAUUUUCAAGUAGAAGAUGAAUGGACAUCAACUAGGGACACUGAGAAUAAGGGCUUCAUGAUACAAUGUUUGGCUGUCUCUUGAUGGGGAAGGGCAAGUGUGCUCUUGUGGUCAAGUAGGGGAGAGGUGGGUUCUGUCAUGUGGAAGUUUCUUUGAAAUUGCGAAUUUCCACUCAUGGAACAAUGGUGCCAUUAUAAGCUCAGCACCAAGGAAUGUAAAUGUCGCAUUAAAACCUUCUUGAGGUAUCUGCCGUCUCACAAUAUAUAUGCUUCAAAGUGAUGCUACUGCAUUAUAAUAAAGUAUCCUUUUGAUGACAUAUGAUCUGACAGAGCAUUUAUGUGUACGAAACAUCUUUCAAAGACAACACAAAUUGAAU
rnacentral:lncRNA from 1 species